rnacentral:rRNA from 1 species
AUUGAACGCUGGCGGCGUGCCUUACACAUGCAAGUCGAACGGCAGCGGACCUUCGGGUGCCGGCGAGUGGCGAACGGGUGAGUAAUGUAUCGGAACGUACCUUUCAGUGGGGGAUAACGUAGAGAAAGUUACGCUAAUACCGCAUAUUCUGUGAGCAGGAAAGCAGGGGAUCGCAAGACCUUGCGCUGAUUGAGCGGCCGAUAUCAGAUUAGCUAGUUGGUGAGGUCAAGGCUCACCAAGGCGACGAUCUGUAGCGGGUCUGAGAGGAUGAUCCGCCACACUGGAACUGAGACACGGUCCAGACUCCUACGGGAGGCAGCAGUGGGGAAUUUUGGACAAUGGGGGCAACCCUGAUCCAGCCAUGCCGCGUGAGUGAAGAAGGCCUUCGGGUUGUAAAGCUCUUUCGUCCGGGAAGAAAUCGCAUCAGCUAAUACCUGGUGUGGAUGACGGUACCGGAAUAAGAAGCACCGGCUAACUACGUGCCAGCAGCCGCAGUAACAC